rnacentral:rRNA from 1 species
UACGUAGGGGGCAAGCGUUGUCCGGAUUUACUGGGUGUAAAGGGAGCGUAGACGGCAGAGCAAGUCUGAAGUGAAAGCCCGCGGCCCAACUGCGGGACUGCUUUGGAAACUGCCCGGCUAGAGUGCUGGAGAGGUAAGCGGAAUUCCUAGUGUAGCGGUGAAAUGCGUAGAUAUUAGGAGGAACACCAGUGGCGAAGGCGACUUACUGGACAGUAACUGACGUUGAGGCUCGAAAGCGUGGGGAGCAAACAGG